UCACAAAUACCUUCAAAAGCCGGAUAUCCGAUCCAUACCCAGGCCUAACUAUAUAUAUACUAGGGUCGGACAGACGGGUCAAAAUAUAUAUUAUAAAUUUUGAUAAAAAAUUUAGUUUAUUUUAAUUAUAAGUUUUUACUAUUUUUACUACAUGUUUUACUAUUUAUUUUUCUUUUAGAAAUUAGGGAAAAUUGCUAAAACUGAACCAAAAACAACAUGGUUGUCCCUAUGGAUAAACCAUCACUAAGUUGUCCCUAUAGUAUAAUAUUUUUCAUAAUCCCAAAACUAACCUUUCCUUAAUCAAAUUAAAUAUAAAUUAAAACCAUUUUAAAAAGUUUAAUGGAAAAAGAUAAAAAAAAAAAAGGUUAUCCCAUAAUGUUUUAGAAAGAAAAAAAAUGUAAAAAACAAUUUCAAAAAAAGAGCACAUGACACAUAUCAAAAAUAUCAUGUAACCUGAUUGCAUUUGGUUUCAAAAAUCCUCCAAACUAUUCUUUUAAAAUUCUCUAAGGUAGAACUUGAUUCCAAUAACAGUAGCCUUACCCCCUUUAUCAUCAGCCGAAAAAAUUCAUCCCGGGCUUGCAUUAAUUUCCCAAACACCACAUAUUGUAUAGAUAUGCAUCAUAAAACAAGAGUUUGUGAAAAUCACAAGACAAACUAUGGAGAAAUCAUAGAUUGAUGAAGAAGAAAAGCCAA
rnacentral:lncRNA from 1 species